AAGGACGCGUAGGCGGAUUAUCAAGUCUUUUGUGAAAUCUAACAGCUUAACUGUUAAACUGCUUGAGAAACUGAUAAUCUAGAGUGAGGGAGAGGCAGAUGGAAUUGGUGGUGUAGGGGUAAAAUCCGUAGAGAUCACCAGGAAUACCCAUUGCGAAGGCGAUCUGCUGGAACUCAACUGACGCUAAUGCGUGAAAGCGUGGGGAGCAAACAGGAUUAGAUACCCUGGUAGUCCACGCCCUAAACGAUGUAUACUAGUUGUUGCUGUGCUAGUCACGGCAGUAAUGCACCUAACGGAUUAAGUAUACCGCCUGGGGAGUACGGUCGCAAGAUUAAAACUCAAAGGAAUAGACGGGGACCCGCACAAGCGGUGGAGCAUGUGGUUUAAUUCGAAGAUACGCGAAGAACCUUACCUGGGCUUGAUAUCCAACUANUCUCUUAGAGAUAAGAGA
rnacentral:rRNA from 1 species